rnacentral:rRNA from 1 species
UACGGGGGGGGCAAGCGUUGUUCGGAAUUACUGGGCGUAAAGGGCUCGUAGGUGGCCAACUAAGUCAGACGUGAAAUCCCCAGGCUCAACUUGGGAACUGCGUCUGAUACUGGAUGGCUUGAAUUCGGGAGAGGGAUGCAGAAUUCCAGGUGUAGCGGUGAAAUGCGUAGAUAUCUGGAGGGAUACCGGUGGCGAAGGCGGCAUCCUGGACCGAGAUUGACACUGAUGAGCGAAAGCCAGGGGAGCAAACAGG